rnacentral:rRNA from 1 species
UGGGGAAUUUUGGACAAUGGGCGAAAGCCUGAUCCAGCCAUUCCGCGUGCAGGAUGAAGGCCUUCGGGUUGUAAACUGCUUUUGUACGGAACGAAAAGCCUUUUUCUAAUAAAGAGAGGUCAUGACGGUACCGUAAGAAUAAGCACCGGCUAACUACGUGCCAGCAGCCGCGGUAAUACGUAGGGUGCAAGCGUUAAUCGGAAUUACUGGGCGUAAAGCGUGCGCAGGCGGUUAUAUAAGACAGUUGUGA